CCCUCUGGACUGAGAUACCCUCGGGAAACUGAGGCAAUCUCGGAUACUGCUUCCGUGUUGGAACACAGGAAGCUGGAAACGGUCCGCCGCCGGAGGACGUGACUGCGGCUGAUUAGGUAGACGGUGGGGUAACGGCCCACCGUGCCGAUAAUCAGUACGGGUUGUGAGAGCAAGAGCCCGGAGACGGAAUCUGAGACAAGAUUCCGGGCCCUACGGGGCGCAGCAGCCGCGAAACCUUUACACUGCACGCCAGUGCGAUAAGGGGAUCCCGAGUGCGAGGGCAUACAGUCCUCGCUUUUCGCGACCGUAAGGUGGUCGCAGAAUAAGGGCUGGGCAAGACCGGUGCCAGCCGCCGCGGUAAUACCGGCAGCCCGAGUGAUAGCCAAUUUUAUUGGGCCUAAAGCGUCCGUAGCUGGCCGAACAGGUCCGUCGGGAAAUCCACCCGCUUAACGGGUGGGCGUCCGGCGGAAACCAGUCGGCUUGGGGCCGAGAGACCAAAGGGGUACGUCCGGGGUAGGAGUGAAAUCCCGUAAUCCUGGACGGACCACCGGUUGCGAAAGCGCCUUUGGAGAACGGACCCGACAGUGAGGGACGAAAGCUAGGGUCUCGAACCGGAUUAGAUACCCGGGUAGUCCUAGCCGUAAACGAUGCUCGCUAGGUGUGACGCAGGCUACGAGCCUGCGUUGCGCCGUAGGGAAGCCGAGAAGCGAGCCGCCUGGGAAGUACGUCCGCAAGGAUGAAACUUAAAGGAAUUGGCGGGGGAGCACUACAACCGGAGGAGCCUGCGGUUUAAUUGGACUCAACGCCGGACAUCUCACCGGCACCGACAACGUGCAGUGACGGUCAGUUUGAUGAGCUUACCUGAGCCGUUGAGAGGAGGUGCAUGGCCGCCGUCAGCUCGUACCGUGAGGCGUCCUGUUAAGUCAGGCAACGAGCGAGACCCGCGUCCAUAAUUGCCAGCAGCACCCUUGUGGUGGCUGGGUACAUUAUGGAGACUGCCGUCGCUAAGACGGAGGAAGGAACGGGCAACGGUAGGUCAGUAUGCCCCGAAUGUGCCGGGCGACACGCGGGCUACAAUGGCCAGGACAGUGGGACGCUACCCCGAGAGGGGACGCUAAUCUCCUAACCCUGGUCGUAGUUCGGAUUGCGGAUUGAAACU
rnacentral:rRNA from 2 species